rnacentral:rRNA from 1 species
UAGGGAAUCUUCGGCAAUGGGGGCAACCCUGACCGAGCAACGCCGCGUGAGUGAAGAAGGUCUUCGGAUCGUAAAGCUCUGUUGUAAGAGAAGAACGUGUGUGAGAGUGGAAAGUUCACACAGUGACGGUAACUUACCAGAAAGGGACGGCUAACUACGUGCCAG